GGAGAGAUGGCUCAGUGGUUAAGAGCACUGGCUGCUCUUCCAGAGGACCUGAGUUCGAUUCCCAGCACCUACA
rnacentral:tRNA from 1 species